rnacentral:rRNA from 1 species
UCCCAGACUCCUACGGGAGGCAGCAGUGGGGAAUAUUGCACAAUGGGGGAAACCCUGAUGCAGCGACGCCGCGUGAGUGAAGAAGUAUUUCGGUAUGUAAAGCUCUAUCAGCAGGGAAGAAAAUGACAGUACCUGACCAAGAAGCCCCGGCUAACUACGUGCCAGCAGCCGCGGUAAUACGUAGGGGGCAAGCGUUAUCCGGAUUUACUGGGUGUAAAGGGAGCGUAGACGGUUAUGUAAGUCUGGAGUGAAAGCCCGGGGCCCAACCCCGGGACUGCUUUGGAAACUGUGUAACUGGAGUACAGGAGGGGCAGGCGGAAUUCCUGGUGUAGCGGUGAAAUGCGUAGAUAUCAGGAGGAACACCGGUGGCGAAGGCGGCUUACUGGACAUUAACUGACGCUGAGGCACGAAGGCCAGGGGAGCGAAAGGGAUUAGAUACCCGGGUACG